rnacentral:rRNA from 1 species
GUCUAUGGCCAUACCACCCUGAACACGCCCGAUCUCAUCUGAUCUCGGAAGCUAAACAGGGUCGGGCCUGGUUAGUACUUGGAUGGGAGAAUAUACUCAUUUAUGUAACUAAAGUUU